GACGAACGCUGGCGGCGUGCUUAACACAUGCAAGUCGAACGGUGAAGGUGGAGCUUGCUCCGCCGGAUCAGUGGCGAACGGGUGAGUAACACGUGGGCAACCUGCCCCUCACUUCGGGAUAACUCCGGGAAACCGGGGCUAAUACCGGAUACGACCUCCUUGGGCAUCCUUGGAGGUGGAAAGUUUUUCGGUGAGGGAUGGGCCCGCGGCCUAUCAGCUUGUUGGUGAGGUAGUGGCUCACCAAGGCGACGACGGGUAGCCUGCCUGAGAGGGCGACCGGCCACACUGGGACUGAGAAACGGCCCAGACUCCUACGGGAGGCAGCAGUGGGGAAUAUUGCGCAAUGGGCGAAAGCCUGACGCAGCAACGCCGCGUGCGGGAUGAAGGCCUUCGGGUUGUAAACCGCUUUCAGCAGGGAAGAAGCCGCAAGGUGACGGUACCUGCAGAAGAAGCACCGGCUAACUACGUGCCAGCAGCCGCCGUAA
rnacentral:rRNA from 1 species